rnacentral:lncRNA from 1 species
UGGCUCUAUGAUCCCAUGGUUCUAUGAUAUCAUGGUUCUAUGAUGUCAUGACUUUGAUUCUAUGAUGUCCUGGCUCUAUGAUAUCAUGAUUCCAUGGCGCUUUCCAUGAUUCUACUGUUCAAUAACUUCAUGAUCCCACGGUUCUGUGUUUCUGCGGUCCCAUGUCGCUAUGACUCUGUGAUUCCCUGACCUUGGGUCUGGCCUGGAAUUACAUCCUUGAAGAGAAACGCGAUAAACUCACAUUGAUCAGCAGCAGAGGGCGUCCAACACACGCGUGUCCCUAAAUCCCGGCCCCGAGCUCCAACAGCAGAUCCAACGGUGGCCAAAACUCUUACUCGGAGCGCGGCCGAUGCUUCCCCGCCAAUUGUGCCGCUGCCCCAGGUUUCCUUCCCCGCUCCCUGCUCGGUGCCAUACGGGAGGUGCAGACCCAAUUGUUCGCCCUGUGGCCCCUGCAGACAGGAUACGAGCCCAGUGCCAGAUUUUAAUGUGAAAUCUCCCUUUCUGCUCCAUCAUGUGACUGGGUUUAGCAGCCCAGACCAGCUAACAUGUCUGAUGCCACCACAAAGAUCAAGGUAAGAUUUAAAACUCCCCAAAUUCACCUUAGCUGGUGCAUGGGGUCAGUGAGGGUCGUGCAGCCCAUAAAGUGAGAGAGCAGAAGGGCUGUGUCCUUCCUCAAGGACAACUUGAUGCAUUAUCCUGCCCAGAGCAGAGCAUUGUCCUGCCCCACCCCUGGAAGUGUCCAGGGCACUUGGGACAACCUGGGGUAGAGGAAAGUGUGCCUGCCCAUGGCAGGGGGUGGCACUGGAUGAACUUUAAGAUUCCUCCCAACCCAAAGCAUUUCGUGACUGUGAA